ncrna:unclassified sequences RT-3 RNA
CAUCGCACCCAUGCAAUCGGCAACGUGCUUGCCCAUCGUACAUGCGAGAACCCCGAGCCUCGGCAACAGCACAAUAUUGUGGAAAGCCGAAACAUAAAUAGGAGUCCUGAAGGCUUAUGAAUGAUUUUAAGACAUUGAACAAUUUGGUCCCG